GCCCGCACUUUUUAAAUUUUUUUUUUAUUUUUUCUUAUAUUUAUAAAUUAUUUAAUUUUAUGGUGCAAGGGGACCAAUCAACGUGGCCAGGGCUUUUUAACAGCAACCUAACGGACAUCUAACGGCGUGCUAGUUUUGCCAAGAAAAUUUAAUUUUAUGAUAUGACGUGCCAAUUUUAAAAACCGUGAUAGGAAGUGAAAAUGCCGUUCAAACUGUGAUAGGGGUGCUAUUUUCCCUGUAAUUUACACCCACUUUCAUUUGGCAAUUUCUUGAUUUUCACAUCUUGCUUUUAUAUCGUCUCUGUAGCUACUGCCGUCCACUGUAUAUAAAGAGGGAACAAGUUGCUGUAUGUUCUCACAUUUAAUCAUACACACAUAAGGUGAAAAAGGUACAAAUUGUCCUGCCCCUUCAUUUCCGCCGAAACAUGAAGAACAUCUCGUCAACAUUAUUGCUUGUGGCAUUCCUUUUCCUCGUUUUAUCUUCCGGUUUUAUGUUGGGAGAGGCGCAGGAGCAGGGAUGCACCCAGCCUCCAUUCAAAGUUCGGGGAUGCUUUACAGAGGAGUGCGUAAAUUUGUGCAAAUCAAUGUUCGGCAGCACCAGCAGUGGAAAAUGUGUCGACGCCGAUCAUUGUUGUUGCAUUGAGUAGCUUAGAUAUUGCAUGAAACCUCAUGAAUAAAGCCAAUCUCCAAUAAAUAAAACCUGCUAUGGGUUCCCAGUU